GACGAACGCUGGCGGCGUGCUUAACACAUGCAAGUCGAACGGAAAGGCCCUGCUUGCAGGGUACUCGAGUGGCGAACGGGUGAGUAACACGUGGGUGAUCUGCCCUGCACUUCGGGAUAAGCUUGGGAAACUGGGUCUAAUACCGGAUAGGAACCAUCUUUAGUGUGGUGGUUGGAAAGUUUUUUCGGUGUAGGAUGAGCUCGCGGCCUAUCAGCUUGUUGGUGGGGUAAUGGCCUACCAAGGCGGCGACGGGUAGCCGGCCUGAGAGGGUGUACGGCCACAUGGGGACUGAGAUACGGCCCAGACUCCAACGGGAGGCAGCAGUGGGGAAUAUUGCACAAUGGGCGCAAGCCUGAUGCAGCGACGCCGCGUGGGGGAUGAAGGCCUUCGGGUUGUAAACUCCUUUCGCUAGGGACGAAGCUUUGUUGUGACGGUACCUAGAUAAGAAGCACCGGCUAACUACGUG
rnacentral:rRNA from 1 species